AGCGGACGCUGGCGGCAGGCUUAACACAUGCAAGUCGAACGCCCCGCAAGGGGAGUGGCAGACGGGUGAGUAACACGUGGGAACGUACCCUUUGGUUCGGAAUAACUUGGGGAAACUCAAGCUAAUACCGGAUAAGCCCUUAUGGGGAAAGGUUUACUGCCGAAGGAUCGGCCCGCGUCUGAUUAGCUAGUUGGUGAGGUAAUGGCUCACCAAGGCGACGAUCAGUAGCUGGUCUGAGAGGAUGAUCAGCCACACUGGGACUGAGACACGGCCCAGACUCCUACGGGAGGCAGCAGUGGGGAAUAUUGGACAAUGGGGGCAACCCUGAUCCAGCCAUGCCGCGUGAGUGAUGAAGGCCUUGGGGUUGUAAAGCUCUUUUACCCGGGACGAUAAUGACUGUACCGGGAGAAUAAGCCCCGGCUAACUUCGUGCCAGCCGCCGCGGUAA
rnacentral:rRNA from 1 species